rnacentral:hammerhead_ribozyme from 1 species
AUUCAUCCGACCAGCCUAAAAUAAGACGAAACGUGCGUCCUGAAU